AGUAUAUAGAUCUAUAUACUAUUUGGAUCUACAGCUGCAAAGACCUUCGUUGGAAAUCAGAUAUUAAGUUCAGGCUUGUCCUUGUGUUACUUCGGCCAAAAUGUGUGUCACUCUUUCUGUUUUUUUCCACACAGCUCUGGAUUACUUCCCAGAUGUUCACCUUUUCUUUUAGAGCUAAACUCACUACCGCAAUCACUUAUUUCACAAAAAAAAAAAAACAAAGAAAAAACAAACAAACAAAAAAAAAUAUGAUUCAAUUCAUGUGUCAUUUUGAAACUUUAUACCCUGAAACCUCUGCCUGGUGUCCAUAUUGAUACACAUAUGUGCCCAUCUGUCUGUGUACCCACUUUGUUUAACUCUCAUCUUGUGUUUUCAGCUCAUAUUUCUUUGUAUUCUCCUUGUCUGGUGUCAUGAUGCAGCCUUAUGUCCGCUUCCGCCUGUUCUGUCCGUGAUACUCUUUGAUUUAAAUCUCUGUAAACUGCUCUCUUUUCAACAAAGACAUUAAAUGAAACUAAAAGCAAGAGGUGUCACAGCUGUGACAGCAAAUGUCGUGCACAGUUUAUCCACAGGAUGGAGCAGCUGACCUACACUUACACCCUCUCACGGCUUGUUGCGAAGAUUUUCAGGUGAUAGUCUCAUGCCACUGAUUUAUUAUGAGCCAGAGAAAGGCGUGUCUGGCAGUUUAAUGCAAGCCGACGGCUUAAAGACGUUAAUCUGUGUUUGGUAUAUUGUAAGUAUCCCUCUGGAGUAACUAACUUUUUCUAGUUAUUUAAGAAAGAGUUCGAAAUUUUGAAGCAAACUACAAUACUUGUGGGGGUUGCUGCGUAUCAAGCCUGCGCCUUCACUUAUUUAUAAAUCCUGGAUUCCUCCACUUGUUGACAGCAUUUAUUAUCUCCGGUAAAAAAAAAACAAAAAAACAAAAACAAAAACAAAAACAAAACAACAAUAUUUCUUGUGUUUUCGUGAGCUUGGUUGUGUCUUCGGGUCCUCGCACUACUGGCGUCGGGCGCAGAAAAAGCGCAUGAGUCGCUGUCAUUCCGCGCAACGUUUUCCGACGGGAGGAAUCGGGCGAGUACUUGUUGCGAGCCAUACGGCGGCGGCAGCGUCCCGGAGCUGUCAAACAUUGCGCACAGCCCUCAGUCUUCAGUCAGUGGAGAGUGACCAGACUAAUCCAUCAGACAAACAACUCGGAAGAUUAACCUUGUUUAGCCUCGCGAAACUACUUCUACUCUCCGCACCCGGAAGCCUGUUUUUUAAAAACCAUUAUCAGUUUGUCACAUGGCUUUGGAGAAUUUCAAUAACAACAAAAAAUGGCGACAAUCACGUUGCUCUGUGUGGUCUUGCUGCGUCAUUAAAAAUAUUCAUGUAAACACGGGGGAUUAAACGGGAAAAUCGCAGGUAAGUGAGGCGAAGGCUUGUUUUUUAGUCACUGCGGACUGAAUGUAAUUAAGAAUAAACGGUUAUAUUUGGGUCGAACAGCAUGCUGUUUGUUUCUGCGUUGGAAAGGGGUGUGUAUGCAAUGCUGGGCGUCAACGUUUGGCUGCACAAUAUUCAAUACGAACAUUGCAUUUCUAUAUUUUUUUGCCUUCGGCCGCUCCUUAAAGAGCACAACUCGCCCUUCUUUAAAGCAGCUAGGCGUGUUAUUGUGCACUGACAUAAAUAACGGCGUUGUUUGGAUUUGGGCAACUUUUGUUUAUUUGUAGCAAAUAGCAGCGCGCGUUGGCACAGUUGUGGAUCGCUGUGCGUAACGAUCAGAGCCGUGGAUGUGUGCUGUUUCCCCCUCUCCGUUUGUAUGUUUCAGGGUUAGCCAGUCUCCAGAUAUUUACAUUGAGGGUUUAUGCAAUAUGGACGCGCUCCCUUCACUGGCUCUCCUUUAACACGCGCUCAUGACAAAAAGCGCACCGUCGGGCCUCGGACAGACUGUUUGCGUGUCUUGUGCCUUGUUUGGUGAUCACACAUGUUGCUUUUGCUUCUUUUUUUUCACGUCCGACACGGGCAUUUUUUUGGCCGGAGCCCGAGCAGCGGGGCUAAUGGAGUUGUUUACAUGAAGAGCGGAGGGCGGACUGUCGAGGAGGAGGAGCCAGCGACGUCACCGGACUGCUCGCGCCGAGGCGGAGGGGGGGCGGAGCCAGCGAGGAGAAUCAUAACAAGUCUGACGUCACUCGGCCUUGUGGUUGACGCAGGUAGAUGUUUCAUCAUGUCAUGGACAACUGAUUCUGAUUGAGGGACAUCAUCACCCCAUUUUCUUGUUCAAAUAGCUACAGUACCUCAAAAGAAAUUGUAGGAAAGUGCACCAUUGUCUUGACUCUUCUGACACAAACAGUCUGUUGCAGGCAUGUCUCAGUAGUGUUUGGCAAGACAUGUUGUAUGAGUUGGUUCACAGUUUAAAACCUGAUAUUUGCAUAUUCCUCCCAUUAUUCAGUGACGCUUCGGAUCCAAUAAUUCAUUUUCCUUUACCAGUGUAUGGACUAUACUCAUUUAUAACUAAAACUAAUAACUGAAACAAGGUAAAGUUUACACAUAUAUAAGAUAGACGUAACAUUGCAAAGAUGCUGACAGACAUUAUUAAAGACAUAAUCACAUAUGUACAAUGUGGUAUACUUUUUCCCUUCGUCACUGGAUAAUCAAGAUAAGACAGAAGGACUGACAUCCGCUUUUAAGAAUUGUGUGUGUUUAUUUAUCUUCCACAAAUCAGACUAUUAAAUAUUAUUUAUGGGUAACACUUUAUGAUAAUAUAUAAUCAUUGAUAAAUGGUAAGUUUGUAGUUAAUCCAACGUUUGCUCAUUGUUAGUUUACUGUUGAAAAUGCUUUAAAAAAAGCAACUGUUUGUUAUAAAGAUGAUGUUAAUGAUCAUUUGUAAGGCAAGUUUGUUUAGUAUAACAAAUCUCAGACACAGGUCAACAUGCUUUUGCAGUGACAUAAAAUGACAUUAAAAGACAUACAAAUUUUUAAAAAAAGUUUUAUUUAUUUAGUAAAUGUACUAUUUAUUAAUGACAGUUAUGAUAAAGUGUUUCAGAGUUAUGUUUUGUACCUUUUCACUCUGCCCGUGUUAGUUCAUGUUCUAGUUGUCUUAUUACAUUUUCCCAAAUUUUAGAGACCAGAAGACUUCCUGCCGGUUAUGGGUCUAAAAACAAUUUUGUUAGGUUACACUAUUUUAUUACUUUGUAGAUUUAUGCGUUAUACUGUAAGCCACAUUAUGUUACUUAAAAUUUUUUUUGAGGAAACAGUUGCUUUUGAUGCAGUUAGUUCUGUAUGAGAUACCAGCAAACAAACCGCAAAGAUGCAAAGAAAAACUUUGUUGUCGUUGCACCUCUUGACCGAGAGCGCUGAUAUUAUGGGUGGAUGGCAAAUGGAGCGACGCCCCGGGACCGGACUGCUAGAUUUGACAGGCUGCCCUGGUUCAGUUAUCACAGUGCUGAUGCUGUCCCCAUCGAAGGUACAGUACUGUGAUAACUGAAGGAUGGCUGCCAACUUGACACGAGUGCAGUGAAUCAAAGCAUGUGGUCUGAACUCAAUAAGCCAGAGGACCAGAGGGAAGAAAGUAAUUGUAUUAGUCUGCAUUUAAGUGUAAGAAACAUGCAACUCAAAAUCUGUACAUUUAUAUUAUCUACACUUCUCAUGUAACUUCUGCUUAACUAAAACAAAUAAAGGGAAUUUUAUUUGAUUUAAA